AUAUACGUGUCCUUGCAAAAAUGUUGAUGACGUCAUCACAUUUUUUUUUUAAAUUCCCACUACAAAAAUGUAAUGAGAAAAAAAACACAAUAGGCAUGCAGUCGUCAAGUUUCCGACAGCGAGAGAAGUACUGUCUAAACUCUUUAGACCAAUUUUUUGUCUAUAUUCUCCAAGAUUCGAUUUAGAUACACGUGGGAAUUGAUUGCUAUAUUCCAUAUCCCUACGUGCAUACAGAUUUUUGAGAAGUUAUGGGUGUUUAAAUCUCCCAUGUGCAAGUACCAUACAAAGACUAUGCGUUAACUACUGAUCCUCGAAUGGAACAAAAUGAAACUGUUUUUUGAAAUACGUGGACCCUACAUGAUGGCGUCACAAGACUAGGUCAAAGGAAAAUAGUGUUAUUCUAAAAUGGGAAAAAAUUGAAAUUGACUGUUUAGUGUUUACAUCGAAAGACAUGCACGCUGUACGCAAAGGAUAUCUUGUGCACGUUUAUUUUAAUAACUAUAUCUUAUAGUUUGUGCACUUUGCGAGAUAUAGGUUUGGUGUACAAUGGUGUUUGUACGGAAUCGUUGUCUGUUCUUGUGCUUCCAACGUUACUUAGUACUGGCGGCAAUAAUUUGGAAAGAAUUAUUUGGGAAAUUGUUCUUUUGUGAUCUUGAUUUCCACAUGUGAAGAAGUUUGAGGCACUUAGAUGGUCCAGCAGGAGUUCAUACAAAAUUUUUGAGGGAUUACACGACAUCGGCAAGUAUUGUAUGAUGUCCACAACUAAUUCGUAUAUAUGUGAUAUUAAGCAUGCAAAUUCUGUUGUAGGGUACUUUAAACCUCCUCGAUCUUGAUUUUGAAUUAGUCCAAGUAAAGGAUUGGUAGUGUCUGACGUUGACAACGGGCCCAAACAAGUUGCACAAGAAACCCUCUCCUGAAUUAUUAUACCGAACGGUUUUUAUCAACUGUAUCUUAUUUAUAACAUGUUCUGGAAACUGAAUAUUAUUUAUGUCUUUUUGAACUUGUUCCUUUGCAAUUUUAGAUUGCUCAACACUGCUGACGUAUGUAUAGUCUGCUGAAACAUUGGCAUGCAAUGACGUCUUUAUUAUGCCCGACUGCAAAAUUCUUUUUAUAGCAUGAUGUGCGGCUCUGGCAUCAGUUGCAUCUUGAGAACCUCCUCGCAUUCGGAUCUGACUGAAUGUGGACUCAAUAGCAUCAGAACUAAAUGCUCUUGUGAGCACAAAAUAAAAAUGUACAUCACGCAGCAAAUAUUGUAUGCAUUCGGCGGUACUUUUGCACGUGAACUUUAAAGCAUGUGCCGUUUCUUUGGUCAGUCCAGGAACAUGAUUUUCAGCAGAGUUUCGUUGAAUGGAAUCAACGUACUGUGGAAAAGUGUACCUCAUCCACGAUAAUCUUUCAUCAUCGACGCUAAUGUAGGGUGCACAGUCUUCAUUUCGCUGUCGGACAUAUUGGAUUCGGUCACUAACAUCGUGAAUUUGGAAAAAUUUAUACAUCAUCUCCAUGUAUUCCACAGUUGCUACAGAAGUUGUGAAGUUGUAAUUCCAAACACCGUCUUGUACCGCUAAAUAUUUGAUUGCUGCAGUAACAGGCGGUGAAAAAAGUUCCACAGCUCUUCUAACGUUCAUCUUUUCAAAAUUACUGGGAUAAAGAUGUUUCCGGGUUAAGAAUCUCACCGGCUUUAUAACCAUAUCUUUUUGGAUGUUGUAGAGGCUGACUAGUAACUGUGAUGUAAUUAUUCCUUGAUCCGAAGACAUAUCACGAUCCAAAAAGAUGUUACGUGCGUUUUUUGCAACGUGGCAAUAAUCGAAGCUUAGAAAUAAGGGGAUCUUGGGUUCUAUGGGAUGGUCUAUUUGUGUUGUUAGAUUUCCAUUUCCAAGCAUCGUGAAGAGAGCCACGUUUGAUUUAUGAUUGUCUGCGACAAGGCGAAUAGUAACAAAACCACACUCAUGCAGCAGUUGUAGGACUUGGAGUGUGAGUUCGUACAUAUCGCGAUGUGUUAUUUGUUUAUGAAAGUAGUACGCUACUGGUAUUGUGUAUUUUAUAGAUAAUCCCCGCAGUACAAAACACAACAUCUUAUUUGCUAUCGCUCCUUUAGUAAUUGAAGUUUCUUCGUUGAUGGUCUCUAUCCCAUAAAACUUGUCUUCUGCUUUGUUAUAAUUUAAUUUAGGCUUAAUUGCCAUGUCAUCUAUUAAAAUACUGCACACUUUAGCAGUGGGUGAUAAAACCUGAGCUUCCGCUAAAAGUCGAUUUCUAAUUAUGUGUGGCAUAUCUUCCCCGCUUCUGCCGGCGUAUCGUUGCAGAGUUGCACGUGAUGGAAGUUUUAUAAAUGAGCUUGGAUAAUCAUACCCUUUAGGGCUGGAAAAGCGCCACAUAAGGCAGAAACGUACUGUCAGCUCAGACCACUGUGGACGUUUCUUAGAAUAAUUUGAUACUUGAUCCAACAAGAAGACUGCAUAUUGGUUGUUUUCAUGAGCAUCUGACCUAAUUUUCUCUAUGAUUUUAUUUUCUGGGCUGCACUGGUACUUAUCAAUGACUGCUUGCAUUUGUUGUAGCUUUUGGUUUUUUUUGUCAUUCUGGCGUAUCAGACGUUUGAUUUUCAAAUUUAACAUUUUAAUUUCUUUCUUGUACUGUUGUAUUUCGUUUUCUGUAAUGAUUUCGGUCUGGCACUCAUUAUCCCUUGUCUGAGAAAGCGUUUAUAGAUAAACAUGUGAAAAACCGUAAGAAUUCCAUUACCUGAAAGACUGGCAGAUUUUCAAAUGAAGGAUUUGAGGAACGUCGAGGAUUUGAUAAUGUGGUAAUUUCAUUCUGGGGACACGAAUUAGAGAAUUUGGCAAGGGAGUAUUAUAAGUAGGUAGGACUUACAGGAUAAGGAUUUUGAUUAAUUACGAUGUCAUUGUUAACAAGAUCAGUGGCGCCAGAGGACGAAUUAGUCUAGAAUGGAGAUUUUUGGAUAUAAAAUUGUAGGUUUGGCAAAAUUUGUACACGGAAACUACCAUAAAUAACGUGGGAAUAGCAUCACGUUUCAGCAAUUUUCUUCCUGAUUCAGAUGCUUUAAAACAUGAUGUCAGGAAAUGUAAACUGCAAACAACCGUUUUGUCCGAUAAUCUUGGACACUCAUCUACAAUUUUUCGUAUUCAGAAGUGUUUUUUUUUAAAUAAAAUAUGUCAAAAUUUAUGCAAACAAAAAUAGGUACUUAAUAAAAAUAUUUAUUGAAGAUUUACCGGUAUUAGGAUAUAUUUUUCCCAACCAUACUUGUCUUAGCUUAAAAUUAGAGGGAAACUCAUGAAAGGAUCUUGAAGGAUCUGUGGAGAAACACGACGGAACACAACAAAACGUAUAAGGCAUUUUAAAAUGCGAAACACAACACAAAGCACUAAAACAAACGUAAACAAAAACAAAACGAAACGGCGAUUGUAAAUCUCGGAUCUAUUUAGGCCACAAAUAAACUAAAGCAGAUUAGACACAAGAGACACGUUGAGGAAUGACAAAUAUUCCCGUCACAAUUUUUGAAAAUUAUCUAGUAGUAGGCAGGUGUCUUUUUUGGCGUUUAACGGGUAAGUGGCUCUACGCGGAGAACACGAGAACUAGACGAUUGAGCAGGCCGUAGUUAAUAGAGAAGGUCGUGUCUACAGUCACAGUAGAUCAGUAACGAAACUUCAGCAAUAUUUGCGGAACGGGUGUGACCUUGGGAGCCCGUUCCCGGGAAACACGAAGAUUCAAAUAUUUCGUAGCAUUCGUAUGUGAUUCAUAUAAUACUAAUAAUUGUACACAAAAAUAAAAAUGGGUGGCAUGUACUAGUGA